rnacentral:rRNA from 1 species
CCUACGGGUGGCAGCAGUGGGGAAUAUUGGGCAAUGGGCGCAAGCCUGAACCAGCAACGCCGCGUGAAGGAAGAAGGCUUUCGGGUUGUAAACUUCUUUUCUUGGGGACGAAGAAAGUGACGGUACUCAAGGAAUAAGCCACGGCUAAAUACGUGCCAGCAGCCGCGGUAAAACGUAGGUGGCAAGCGUUAUCCGGAUUUAUUGGGUGUAAAGGGCGUGUAGGCGGGAUUGCAAGUCCGAUGUGAAAACCACGGGCUCAACCUGUGGCCUGCAUUUGAAACUGUAGUUCUUGAGUGCUGGAGAGGCAUUCGGAAUUCGUGGUGUAGCGGUGAAAUGCGUAGAUAUACGGAGGAACACCAGUGGCGAAGGCAGAUUGCUGGACAGUAACUGAUGCUGAGGCGCGAAAGCGUGGGGAGCAAACAGGAUUAGAUACCCGAGUAGUC